GUACAUUGUGAUAGGACAUCAUUGGCUUCUAUUUGAGUCCAGAGAAAAUCCUAGAAUGCAUUAAGAACAGAAGAUUGAUGCCUGCCUCAUCACUGAUAUCACUUUCUGGACUGGCCUCUUCCUGCCUGGGCUCCAUAUAACCAGAUGUUCUGCCAUUUUCAACCAGCCGAAGAACCUGCUUCCCAAUGACAUCACCACAAGUCCAGCCCCUGUUGACAUCAUCUCCGGCACUCUUUGAUGAUAUCAUAUUCAAUACCCAAAACCACUCUUCUUCCACUUCAGUUCCUGUUCAAGUCUCCCUUACUCCACCUCUUCUUCCGUACAGCCAUAUUUAUAGAACAGCUUUUCAACCUGUUAGCUGUUGU